UUCCAUUUCAUUUUCCGGAACCCAUUUCUUCUCUCUUUUCCUUCUCUCUCGCGCCUCACCCUCAUUGUCCGAAAAUCCCUUUCGACCCGACCCAAACCCGGCCGACCCGACCCGACUUUUUCGGCCACCUCGGACCGACCUAGACGCCGGCACCGGUUGGGUUUUCUUCCUCUCCUCCGUCCGAGCUGCCUUGUGGUGGUGGCUUGCGCCGAUUCUCAGCGGUGUGUGCGAUUCGAAGCUUGGAUGUUCGGGUUAGAGACCCGAACGAAAUUCUCACCUCCGGCGGUGGCGACGCAGCUUGGAACCGGUCGGGAUAGAUGCUCCUUGGCGUCCUGGUUUUUUUUCUGGUAGUCUUCUAGUGCGACUCACGGCGGAGAGUGACGGUGGUGGAUUCCAAACUUUCAAGCGAGUUUCCAGUGUUUUCCUACCGAUUCCAGCCGAAUUGGUUCAACCGUCAGGUAUAAAAGUUGUUUCCCUUUCUUCAAUCUACAAGUUUGCUGUUGGAAGUUUGUUGAGAUUUUGAAGUUGCUGGGGUGGCGCGUGGGGCCCACUCGUCGCCGUCUAUGGUGGAACGUGGCGGCGCGUCCGACAGGGGUUGGGAGGUUAGGAGUAACUGUUAGCUUAUGUUCGUCGAUACAAGCACGUUGACAUAUCAUGAGGUUAUGUUAUGAUCAAGUUUUGCAUCCUAGGUUUAAGAGAAUCGUGAGAGAUUGUUAAGCUUUGGUGUUUGAGCUUUGAAAUUCUUGUUAGCUAUUUCAAUAGGUUGGUUAAGGGUUCCUAUGACCUUGGGAGGUCUCGGAAGAAGGUUGUCCCUUUUUGGGCAAAUCUUAGGUUAAGGCUUGUUAAGGGUGCAAUGUUCUUUUUGUUUAAGUGGUUAUUAAAGUUAUUAAUUGUGUUAAAUAGGUAGCGUGUGGAGUUGAUAUUUAAGCUUGGCUCUUGUGUUGUGUUGAAGACACAGCGGGAAUUUAGGUGAGUAAAAUCUCACCAAGGUUCACUUUGUGACAUAUUUAUUUAUGGUUAUUAUGAUGAUGAUAAUUAUUAUGAUGAUGAUUAUGAUGAUGAAAAUGUUGAUGAUGAAGAUUUAAAAACUAUGUUUUUCUUUUUGCUUGUUUUAAAAUAUAUGAGUUUAAUCGCCAACGACUCAUAGGUAAGAAAAAACAAGUUUUUAUAUUUAAAUGAUUAUUUUUAAGGUUCUUGUGAUCAUAAUAUUUUAGUUCUUGGUAGAUUAUUCUUGUGGGAAUAUCUAUGAUUGUUCAUAUAAAUAUAUCUAUGUGGAAGAAUAUAAUUUUUAUGAUGUGCUCUUUGUGUUGUUGAUGAUGAUAUUAUUAUAUUGUGAGUAAAUCUCACAUGGGUUCAUAAAGAAAUCGAGUUUAUUUUAUAGUUUAUUAUUGCUAAUUGUGAAGUUGUCCUUGAAAUGAAAUGAUUUUGUUUUUAAAUAUAAAUGAGCUUGAUCGUCAACGGCUCAUGGGUAAGUAAAAAUAUUUUUCUGAUAAAAAUAAAAUAUUUCAAAAGAACUUCUGAUCAUGGGUUAUUAGUUGUCGAUGUGUGUGUCUUAGUGGUAAUUGUGUGCAUUAGUUGUGGAACAGUGCCUUAGUGGUGAACUGGUGAUUGUGUGCAUUAGUUGUGGAUGUGUGUGUCUUAAUGAUGAUUGUGUGCAUUCGUUGUGGAAUGUGCCUUAGUAGUGAUUGUGUGUCUUAGUUGUGAAUGUGUGCCUUAGUGGUGAUUGUAUGCAUUAGUUGUGGAUGUGUGUCUUAGUGGUGAUUGUGUGCAUUAGAUUAGGAGUCUUCGUGGUGGACCGGGAACCAAGCCUUGGCCGGGUGAUUGAUUACGGUCAGUAUAGAGCUCUAGUUUGUCUGUCGGUACUUCAUGGGGGAUGACUAAGUGUCAACGAACCCAUGCGUACGCGUUUGUUUGGUUACUUAUGAGGGAUGACUAAGUGUUGACGAACUCAUAAGUAAGAGUAGAGAAAUGAUUAUGUGAUGUUCUUAUGUGUUGUCAUUUAAAUUCCUUGCUUUGAGUAUCUCCUGAACUAUGCUUAUCCGCAGGAGAUUCUAAAUCUUUACUUGUGAUUUUUAGUGAAUUCCUGAACUACAUUUUUUUGCAGGAUUCAUUUAUGAUUUUAAUUAUUUGUGGAUGGUUGUGUUUUCUUAUUUACUCUAUUUUAAAUUCUCUCAUUUUUAGGCAAUUCCUGAACUAAGUUUAUAAGCAAGAAUUACUGAUGUUUAUCUUGUGAUGUUAGGUUGAGUUCUUUAAUGUAGAUUUACUCAUAUGAGCUUUUAAAGCUUACCGAGUUUGUUGUUUACAACCCGGUACACCAAUCCAGGGUGUAGAGGUUGAUUUUGCAGGUCAGGUUUAGCAGAGUUAAGGCUGCGGCAAUUAGGUAAUUUUUCUUUUUGUUUACUUUCUAGUUGUUGUGAGUAUUGAGAGAGUUUUACUUUGUUCAAAAUUAUUUUCCACAAGUUGUAAAACUAAAUUGUUGUAGUGAUUGUUUUUCUUUUUUGGUUAUUAUGCCUUGAAUUUGAAAUUUUUUAUUUAUCCAAAAUUUAGGGUGUGACAACCUAAACGCUUGAUUUGUUCCACUUUCUGAAAGCGGGAGGAAUCACUUAAAGUGCUUAGGCUCUACGUAUUUUUCGACCGCGCAAGGAAGAGUAGAAAUCCUGAGAUUGCACAAAGUCAUCCUCUUUCAAGUUUUGUAUGUCUCUUCUUUAACAUGGAAAACACUUCGAGCAAAUUCAUUUCCUUGUUUUGAUAUGGCAGUACUCUAUACAACCCGAGCAAACUCAUUUUCUUACUUUGUUAUGACUGGACUUAGAAGCAUCUUCCAAGCUGCCUACGUACUCUUACGAGAAAGAGAUCAAGUCACGACGUAGUUCAAGGAUUUUUUUAUAUUUUUUUAGGUGUCGUACGCAGUUUAUGCUCGUGGGGGCAAGGAGCAUUUUUUUUUUUGUGCCUUGUGCAGUUGAGGCUCAUGCAGGCUAGGAGUUGUUUUUUUUUUUCUUUUUUUUGGUUGUCAUUUGCAAUUUAAGCUCGUGCAGACAAGGAGCGAUAAUUUUUUUUUGUUUUUUGUUUUUUUUUGUGUGUCAUUCGCAGUUUAAACUAGUGCGGACAAGAAACAUUUUGACUCUUGAGUGGUCUACAUAAAUUUAGACGGGUUGCAUGCCCCUAACAAAGGUGUUGAGGACACCACUUCAAGGUGUUCAAAAAAGAUGGUUGCAUAAUUUGACUAAGCCACGUCAUCUUCAACAUCUAAACAUAUCUUUCCUUGUUGUGCUAGCUUCAUGAUGAGGUCUUUCAAGACGAAGCCCUUCUCCAGGAUGACCGAUGACACGGUGGUACUUGUAAUACUUAGGAUCAUUGACACGAUGCAUCUCUUCUGGACGCUUGCAGUCUGGCAAUUUGAUUAGUUCUUUUUCAAGCAAGUUUUCCAACAUCUCAACAACAUCGAAAUCUGGAAAAGGGUAACUUUUAGCUUCCAAGUCAUUUAGAGUUUGCCUCCUUGCUUGAUCUUGCAGGAGUUGUACUGAUUGCCAAAGACUCUUGAUUCUCUGGUUCUAUGAUGUCACAUUUUCUUUGGCCAUGACUAGCCAAACUGAGUUCCAUGUCAUGAGCUCGGGUAGCAAGUUCUUCAAAGGUGCGAGGCUUUAUCCCUUGAAAAAUGUACAACAAAUCCCAAUGCAUGCCUUGAAUACACAUCUAUACCGCUGACAAUUUUAAGAGUCGGUCUUUGCAGUCGAGACUUAGUGUACGCCAACGAUUGAUGAACUCUACAGCAGGCUCGCCAUUUUGUUGUUUGGUGUUGGUGAGCUCUAACAUACUCACCAUGCGACGUGUGUUGAAGAAGUGGUUCAAGAACUCCUUUUCCAUUUGCUCCCAGCUGUCAAUGAAUUCAGGCUCCAAGUCUGUAAACCAUUUAAACUCCGUGCCUUGGAGUGAGCGAACAAAUUGCUUCACAAGAUGAUCACCAUCGGUGCCAGUGUUGUUGCAUGUUUCGAUGAAAUGUGCGAUGUGUUGCUUUGGGUUACAUUUGCCAUCAAAUUGUUAAAACUUGGGAGGUUGGUAACCAGUUGACAUUCUCAAAUUGUCUAGCCGCUUGGUGUAAGACUUGGAAUACGUUAGUGUAUCUCGAGGCGAACCACCAUAUUGAGCUUUGAUUGUCUUGGCAAUCAUGUCUUGAAGCUGUUGAACUAACAAUGAAGCUAGGAUGGAAUUUGAUUCUCCUUUUUGCUCGGAAGAUGAUCCACUAGACUUGUCUUUCUUAUCGCCAUGAAGGUUAUUCUCCGAGUCAUUGUCGUGGUGAACUUCUAGCUUCUCCAUGAGUGAUGCAAUUUCUACAUCCUUCUCUUCAAUGGUCUUUUGGAGCUUCUUCACCGCUUCAGUCAACUGGGCUAUUUGGGCCGCUUGUUCUUCCAUGUUGAUCACUUCUAUCACCAUGACUUGCAUGGCGCAAGAGUCGUCUUCUAGAAUCGCUUCAAUUUGAUUGUCAAGAUGCAAUUCCAAGUGUGGACAUAUCUUCGAAUCAACUUUGGUUGUGGGCGAAGGAGAAUGUUUCCUCGAGUUGCCUGACGAUGUUAAAAGUCUUUGCUUCGUGAGGUUUGCCACCAUUGUUGUCCAAACGUCGAUCAGCUGAAACUGCUUUGAGGAAUGAAGGUUGAAUGUUGUGAGUUGAAAUGACUCACUAUGAGCAACAUGAUCGCUAAGGUUUCUACUGCUUUUCAGAGUAGCUAUAUAGCUACCUUGUUGGUCUUGUUUUUCGAUUUGAUUUGCACCAUCUUUGAAGCCAUGUGAUGAGGAUGGCGAGAUUGUCGGAGGAGGAGAUGAGAGGCAGAGAUGGUCUCACUGGGCGUGCCAAUUUUGUAAACACGAAAAUUUCUGUAACGAAUAACAGAAAGACAUGUGUACAAAAUAAUAUAUUUGUAUUGAUUGAAUUUGCGGGUUACAAUCUCUGUGGGUAUUCUUUUAACAAGAAUGUCCUCUGAUUCGAUCUCCAUCGUUGAUUUGAUCCAAGGGUGACGAGCACUUGAUCUUGAAUUGAACUGUUGUAGUUUGAACUUCUUAUCGUGUUGACGAUUUGUAGAAGGAAGUUGACCAAGGGCCGUAGAGGCUUGAUCUUGGUCGAAUUUGGGUCGAGAAAGGUGUCACGUGGUGAACGUUCUUCGGCUUGAUAGCGGAUGAAUCGGCACGUGUGUUUGGUGCUUGUUGAUUCUCCAACAGCUUGUUGAAGAACUUGGUAAAAGUUUUGAUUUGUUGAAAGGCUUGAAGACGAGGGUUGAUCAAAGGCCGUAGAGGCUUGACAUUGAUCGGGUUUGGGCCACGAGCAGUUCCACGUGGUGGUUGCUCUUCGUCUUGUAGUUGGUGAAGAUGUCGGCUAUUUGACAAUUUGGGACUCUUCGGGAUUUGACAACUUCUAGGUUUGAGGUUGAUGAAGAAUCGACUAUUUGACAGCUUGAUAAUUCUUCAAGGGUUCUGGGAGAAUUCUGAGCUCUCGAGAGUAAUUUUUCUCUCUUGUCCGGAAGUCCUCUUCUUGAUAUGAGAGAGGGGUAUUUAUAGUGUCGACGUUCCUCCGUUUAUGGAAUGUUUUGAAGACAGUGUUUUAAUUGUAUUUCCUUAACAGUAUAAUUAAAUCAAUCAGUUUUGAUUGAUUGAUCUAAUUAUAAUUAUUAACAUAAUUAAAUCAGUCUGUAUUUAUUGAUUGAUUCGAUUAUGACUGAUAAAGUAUUUUGCUAAUUUGAUUAAAUGUUCGACUUCCUUUCCGAUAAUCAAUUUAAUUUGAUUGAAAUUUGAUUAUCGAUUGACAUUUAAUAUUUACUUUUAGUCGGAAUUGAUGAUUUUUGUUGUCGACUGAUCAUUCACACGUGACCACAUGUCAUUUUCGAAGACUUUAUAAUUUUUCCAACUGACGAACCACAUAUGC
rnacentral:lncRNA from 1 species